UACGUAGGGUGCGAGCGUUAAUCGGAAUUACUGGGCGUAAGGGGUGCGCAGGCGGCCGAGCAAGUCGAGUGUGAAAGCCCCGAGCUUAACUUGGGAACUGCGCUCGAAACUACUUGGCUAGAGUGUGGCAGAGGGAGGUGGAAUUCCACGUGUAGCGGUGAAAUGCGUAGAGAUGUGGAGGAACACCGAUGGCGAAGGCAGCCUCCUGGGCCAACACUGACGCUCAUGCACGAAAGCGUGGGGAGCAAACAGG
rnacentral:rRNA from 1 species